rnacentral:lncRNA from 10 species
GUGUGUGUCUGUUUUUUUUUAGACAGGGUCUUAUUACUCCAUUGCCCAGGCUGGAGUGCAGUGGCACGAUCUUGGCUCAUUGCAACCUCCGCCUCCCAGGUUCAAGUGACUCUCCUGCCUCAGCCUCCAGAGUAGCUGCAACUACACGUGCGCCAUCACACCCGGCUAAAUUUUUAUACAUUUUUAGUAGAGACAGGGUUUCACCAUACUGGCCAGGCUGGUCUCAAACUCCUGAUCUUGUGAUCCGCCUGCCUCGGCCUCCCACAGUGGACCAUGUUUUUUUAAAAAGGCUUGUGUGGCAAAAAAGAAUAAAAACAAAAAACAAGCAAAGUCAAAAAACAAGCUGAGCAAAUAUAUGCAAAACACUUCACAGAUAAUGACAUUAUCCCUAAUACUUGAAGAACUUUAAAAAAUUGAAGGAAAAAAACAAAUAUCCUGUUGAGAAAUAAGCAAAAUAUGAAUAAAUAAUUCACCAAAAAAAAUUUUUUAAUGGUCCUUAAGACAUAUGAAACUAUAAUCAACUUCACUUUAAUAUAAAUGGGCUGUGCGCAGUGGCUCAUGCUAUACUUUUUAUGUUAUUUUAGAGUGUUAUUUUACUUUUAUAUGUAGAAAAUUAAAU